CUUGAUCGACCCCAGCCACAGCGGGUCCCCUGCCCUGCCCUGUCCGUACGUGGCGAUGAGAGCCUGCGCUUC
rnacentral:antisense_RNA from 1 species